rnacentral:tRNA from 1 species
UAGCCUAGUGGUAACGCUUCCGCCUUGUAAGCGGUAGAUCGGGGUUCAAAUCCCGG